rnacentral:lncRNA from 1 species
CGGCCGCGCUGGUUCUCCUUGAGGUCCAGGUAGUACUUGCGGUUCUCGCGCACCAGGAACUCGCUCUUGAGCGCGCGGCGCGGCCCGCCGCCCUCCUCGGCGCCCGCCGCCAGCUGCUCGGGGCUGCUGGGACCCAGCUGCGCGUAGUGCUCGAUGAAGUCGCCCAGCGAGUCGCGGAACUCGGCGGCCACCGCCAUCGACAGCGUGAGGCGGCUCUUGGAGCCGCCCGCGCCCACCUCGGCGAUCUUGAGGAAGCGGCCCUUGGCGUUCUGCUUCACGUCCAGGAUCAGAAAAGAAGUCCACCCAAGCCUUGCGAUACCUCAGUACUGCUCUGUCCUCAGAGUACAAAAAGGGCUCAAGACCACUUGAGAAUCCCCAGCAGCAGGAGCCAGCAGCAGCCGCUCAGGGCUCGGGCUUUUUUACAUCCUCUCAAGAGUCCUCAGAACUCCAAACAGAAGCUGUCUUCAGCUGCAGAACCCCGCCCCUGCCAGAGCUUGAUCUUAGUCAGCUACCGUGGACAGUCUGACGCAGGCCCCAUAUCCCACACUCGGAUUAAAACAACAUUCACAUAAGGACCCAGGUUCGAGUCUCAGAAGACACACACGGCAGCCCAUAGCCAUGUAUAAUUCCAGUUCCAGGGGAUCCAGCACCCUCCUCUGGCCUUCUUGAGCACCUGCACACACAUGGUUAACAUACAUGCAGGUUGACUUCUGUGCUCUCCCUGGUCAUCAGGUCCUGGGCAUUCAGAUACAAAGACAAGCAAUGUCUCCACGUCACAUCACUGCUCCCAACUCUCUAUUUGGUGCUUUGAAAAGCACUGCUCAGACUGGCCUGGCGGUGCAUGAAUAAGCCCAGCUCUCAGGGACAAGAAAGAUCAGAACUGCAGGAGGAGGGGUUCUUGCCUGUUUGUGUGUCGGUGCAUUGCAUGCCCACUGAGGGUGUGAUGGCUAAAGAAACUCCAUUUUGUGUUGGGAGUUCAUCUUGGUACCAAAUAGCCAUUUGUCUCUGACUCAAGUUCCUGGAAGGCAUUCAAGGACUGUUCUGAAGUCACCUUGACCCUCCAUCUAAUCCGGGUAGAGCAGGACAGCCCCCAUGGGUUUUACCUUUAAAUGUCCUUCCUGCUCCCUCAUCUGACUCUGAUUGAGUGCAGCCUUGCCAGAAGUUCUAAUAAAUUCUGCUAAUUAUAAUCAGAAU